AACCUUUGUGUGUCUUUCAUUUCAUUAUCUUCCAACCUUUGAGUUUGUGUGAUUGCCUUGGUUCAAACACGACAUUGUGCUUAUUUCUUGGUUAGGACUGAAGCAAGAGUAGCAGUCAGGCUAUCUUGCUGUCCUCACGGAACCCUUAGAAAAUUCCGUGACAGUAAGUUGUUAUAUAGAAGAGGAGCACACUAAUUCCUUCUAACAAACUUCUACUUUUAACUCCUAGUUUUAACUAAUUACACAUUGACCCCUCACUCAUUAACUUAGUUGUUCUUCUAGCUAUGUUGACAGAGAAGCAAACAACAACCCAAGUUCGCGGCAAGAUGCAGGCUGCUUGUUUUUU
rnacentral:lncRNA from 1 species